rnacentral:rRNA from 1 species
UACGGAGGGUGCGAGCGUUGUUCGGAAUCACUGGGCGUAAAGCGCGUGUAGGCGGCCCAUUAAGUCUGAUGUGAAAGCCCGGGGCUCACCCCCGGAAGUGCAUUGGAAACUGAUGGACUCGAGUCCCGGAGAGGAGAGUGGAAUUCCUGGUGUAGCGGUGAAAUGCGUAGAUAUCAGGAGGAACACCCGUGGCGAAGGCGGCUCUCUGGGACGGUACUGACGCUGAGACGCGAAAGCGUGGGGAGCGAACAGG